AUGAACGCUGGCGGCGUGCCUAAUACAUGCAAGUCGAGCGAACAGACGAGGAGCUUGCUCCUCUGACGUUAGCGGCGGACGGGUGAGUAACACGUGGAUAACCUACCUAUAAGACUGGGAUAACUUCGGGAAACCGGAGCUAAUACCGGAUAAUAUAUUGAACCGCAUGGUUCAAUAGUGAAAGACGGUUUUGCUGUUACUUAUAGAUGGAUUCGCGCCGCAUUAGCUAGUUGGUAAGGUAACGGCUUACCAAGGCAACGAUGCGUAGCCGACCUGAGAGGGUGAUCGGCCACCCGGGAACUGAGACACGGUCCAGACUCCUACGGGAGGCAGCAGUAGGGAAUCUUCCGCAAAGGGCGAAAGCCUGACGGAGCAACGCCGCGUGAGUGAUGAAGGUCUUCGGAUCGUAAAACUCUGUUAUUAGGGAAGAACAAAUGUGUAAGUAACUAUGCACGUCUUGACGGUACCUAAUCAGAAAGCCACGGCUAACUACGUG
rnacentral:rRNA from 1 species